AGUUGUUUCGUGCUGUUUCUGGAUGAAAAUUUGGUAAUAAAAGUAUUUUAUGUAAUUAUACGUAAAAUGAAAUAGUGAUAGCCAUCAAAGUGGUUGAAAGAUUUUCAUUACAUGUAUUUCACUUCAACAUGAAAGGAACUGCUAUUUAUAACGUAUUAAGUGUGACACAUUUUCCACCUUGUGAGCAACGCAUGCUUUCUUUCUAGGUAAAAUUUUUGCUGUGUAAAGGGUUAGAGAGAUAUCUAUUUCUGUGGCUUUGACUUCUCAUUAUUCAUUAGAACAAUGAAUGCAACUAUUGCUGCUGGUAUCAACUGUAGUUCUAUAAAUGAGCAGGUGGCCAAUGGCUCUAGAUCAUCAAUAUUAGCUUCUAAUGUUGAUUUUUCUGUAACUGGAAACAAAAGUAGCUUCUGUCAACAAGGGAAGUACUUUUAUAAAGCAGGUGGCAGAGAAGAGCAUUUUAAUGGACAGAAAAAGACUAAAAGUAUUGUUGAUCAAAAUAAAAAUACUUUAGUGACUAAUUCUCAUGUUAUUGUAAAUGGGAAUAAAGAGAAAUCUGAUGAUUCUAUACCACCUCCAAAAGUCCAACUUUAUACUGGAAAAAUCUAUGUUGAGUGGAAGCAAGUGUAUAAAAUUGGUGCUGGACUAAACAAUUUAGGAAAUACAUGUUUUAUGAACACUGUAAUCCAGUGUUUAACAUAUUGUCCGCCUCUUGCAAAUUAUCUUCUUCUUGACAAUGACCACCCAUCAAAAUGUACUAUCACGGGAUUUUGUAUGAUGUGUUUGCUUCAGAAACAUAUGAAACGAGCUAUUGGUAAAUCUGGUGAUGUUAUAAAACCUGUUGAUGUCUAUCCAAGAUUAAAAUUGAUAGCAAAGCAUUUUCAGUUUGGACAACAAGAAGAUGCACAUGAAUUCCUCAGAUAUGUAAUUGAUCAUUUAUGGAGGUCAUGUCUUCAUCAAAACAAUGGAAUUAAGCUAGAUCCUGCUAGUAAAGAAACAACUGUCAUAAAUCAGAUUUUUGGCGGUUAUCAUAGGAGUCAAGUGACUUGCUUAAGAUGCAGAGAAAAGAGUAAUACAUUUGAUCACUUUAUGGAUUUUAUUUUAGAUAUUAAGCAAAAUGUGCUUACAUUGGAAAAGGCUUUAGAAAAAUUCAUUCAGCCUGAGAUAUUGGAGCAAGAAAAUGCUUAUAAGUGUCCAAAAUGUAAAAUGAAAGUAGUUGCACAAAAGAGGUUUUCAGUGUUUCAGCCUCCUAAUGUUGCUACUUUCCAAUUAAAAAGGUUUGAUUAUCACCGGACAUUUGGUGGAAAAAUUACCAAGCAAAUUACGUAUCCAGAAAGGCUGAAUCUUCGUCCUUAUAUGUCAGAUCCUAAGGGUGAUCCAGUAUGGUACCAUCUAUAUGCUGUACUUGUUCAUUCAGGUCCUACUUGUAAUUCUGGACAUUAUUAUUGUUAUGUAAAGAAUUCUAAUAAUCUGUGGUACAUCAUGGAUGAUCAGCGGGUUCAUCAAGUAAGCCUUAAUCAAGUUCUCAAUCAAAGUGCAUAUGUUUUGUUUUACAUAAAGAAAGGAACUACAGAAGGAACAUCAAUUAAGAAGAAUUUUGAGAAUAGAAAUUCCCUUGUAAAAGGUACUAUUUCUUCUCCUAACUUUAAAAGAGUAGCUGAAAUUUCUUCUAUAAAAUCGACACCUCUCAAAGAAGUUCAGACAUCUGUAUCCAGCCCAACAGCAAAGCUUCAAGUGUAUUCAUUUACUAAUAUAAAUAAGAAAAUGAGUUCACCUAAUCAAAGUAAGGAGAAAGUUUCUUCUGGUAUUCAUCCAAGUAUGCCUGUUAUUCAGGAAAUGAAUAAACCUUGUGUUUCAUUGCAUGCAACAAAGAAAGUAAAACAGUGUACUACAGUAUCAAAAGCUGAUCAUUAUCAGUGUGGACUUGUGCCUUACAUAGAAGAUUCAUCAGAAUCCUCUGAUGAAAAUAAUAGUAAUCGACCUUCAAAUACAAAAAUUACACACAGUCAAGAAGCCUCAAUUAGUGUAUUAGGAACUCCUAAAGAUGAUGGUGCCAAACAAAAUUUAAAAAGUGUUACAAUUGAUAAACCAUCUCCACAUCUCGAUAUUAGGAGAAAAACCAUCAAAACUGCAUUGAACUCUAAAUCUGUGCCAUCCAGUCCAAUUUUUACAAAUUCCAUUUCUCCUAAAGUCAUAGCUACAGGAACCUGGACAGUUACUGAUGCACAUGAAGAUUCACCAUCAGCAGGUUCAUGUUCUAGUAAUAACACUGUAAAUUCAACUUCUGACUGGCACGUGACAAGCACGAAUACUGAUUUGCCACUCAAAAAGCCUGUGCAUAAGUUUUCUCAGAGUGAGAGUAAUAUGGUUAGUAAGGAAAGUGGGCACAAUUCCACUAAAAAGCUAUCAGAAUAUAACACACAUACCUCUGGCAGUGUCAUGAACUCUCCUGCUCAGAAAAGUAUAGGAAAAAAUUCACUUCCUGGUGGUGAUAAAGCUGAAUUUGCAGCAUCGUCUUGUGAAAUUAGUAAUGUGCACAGUUUAAAAAAUCCAGCUUCCUCAAAGUGUGAUUUUCGAAAGCAACCGAGUCAAAAUGAGAAGCCUUUUCUUGAGAGCGAGGGAAAAUUCAACAGACGAGAGCAUGAUUCCUCCUUCCUUAAAAGGAAAUGCAAUGACUUUACUCAGAAGGUUUCUGAAAACUCCAUCAGGGCUUUUCACUGUGAAAACCGAUAUAGUUCAGUACCUAAAAAAGCUAAAUAUACACAAGAGUUAAAUUCAUCAUCUGAAAAAGAGAGAACUAUUUCAGGUUCAAUACAUAAGUUGUCCUCAAAUAUGUCAAAAGUAUCUCAAAGUUACAGUGCAUCAAAGAACGACACAGUACAUUUUACAAAAGACUCUUAUUCCAAAAUAAAUUAUUCACAACAAAAUGGAAGCAUAAGCUGUCAUAGUGACAAAGUUUUAAGGACUAGUGAAAAAACAAAAGUUGGAAAGAAGUUAGAGAGUGACUGUGAAAGUCUUUCAAGCUCUGAAAGUUCUAGUUCUGGUAGCCUAGAAUAUGAAUGGGUAGAAAAAACUAAAGAUGAUAUUGAAAGUCAUCAAUCAUCAUCUAAAGGUAAAAUAAAAAUGGGAAAUGAUUAUCAGAAAGCUUCAUCAAGUUCUCAAAUAUUAGAUGAUCGAAAGCAAAACGUAGUGUCAGAACUUACGAAAAAUUCUUCAUAUUUUUAUGGAGCUGAAGUGCCCACAUGGAAAGGAGAAAAACAUUAUAAGAAUCCUGCCAUGGCAGCCAGUGUGAAAAGGAAAUUAUUUGAUGUUUAUGAUGAUGAGUUUGAUAGAGGAAAGGUAAGAAAAUUUAAACCGAAGGAUAAAUAUCAGCAUUAUUACAAGCACAAUCCCUUUCAAAAAUAUGCAGAAAGAAAUCAUGGCCAUUUGAAAUUCAAUGGUAAAUUUCACCAUGGUCAAUCUCAUUACUACAAAGGUUAUGGUUCUCAUAAUAAGUGGAAACAGCAUCAGAGGCAGGAUUUCCAAAAGCACAAGAAAUAUUACAGACAUAACUUCCAAAGAUGAGAGAAAAAAUGAAAAUGCACUUCCAUUGUUCAAUAACAAAUCACUGUGAAUAUGUUUUAAAUAAAUUUCCUCUGUAAGGGUGGAGAGGUUUACAGUUUAUCCAAUGAAAAAAGUUUUUUAUUUUCAAAAUAGUGUUGCAGUUUUUUCCAUCAAUAUGUACUGUGGCAUUUGUUUGGCAGAGUUGAUUUCUAAAGUGUACGACUAAAAUGCAUAUAAGUGUUCUUUACAUUUUAUUUUGUCUAUCUUGAAUUCUUGCUAUCGUUCUUCAGUUCAUAUUUAUGUAGGUAUACAGUAAAGAACUCUUUAUUUUUUUUUUUAUUUAUUUAUUUUUCUGGCGAGUUUUCUCGGUGUAUUUCUGUCACUCUAUUUCCUUUGAUUUUUUGCUCUAAUACAGAGUUUUCGACUGCAGCAUACAGUUGCUGCAGUUGUGCACUAAUUACUGUAUUUAUGUGGUGUAAUAUGUGAGGUAAACGAAAUCAGUAACAUGCCAUGUUUGAAGUUUGGUGCAAGCAUAAGUUUCCCCCCUCCCAGUUCAAGAGUUGUAAAUGAAGUCAUCAUGAAUAAUGAUCUUGUGUAAUCACUUGUUAAUCACUAUUUAUAACAUACAUAAGGCUGUAGACCUUCCCCCGAAGAAGUCCGCUGUUUCUUUUUAAUUAUUAUGCUAAGAGAAAAUUGAUUAUUUUAUUGUGAAAAGCCAAUAAGUUAUGAAUGGAUGGUUAUAUGUUUUCAGUUGUGAAUACUAAGCAUUGUAUGCUUAUACACAAUUGAUGAUUUUUCAGGAGAUUUAUUAGUAUUUUAUUUAUUGUAAUAUUAUCCAAUUAGUUAUGAUGUAAGUUUGCUUUGCAUUUUUUUGUUAAUUUUAUUUGUAUGUAAUUUUUUAAUGAAAAUUUGUGGUGGACAUGUAUAUAAAAUUUGUUGUCCAUGUAUAUUUCUUAUGUACUUAGCUAUAUAUAUUAGCUAUAAUGUAGGACCAACAUGGUGUUCAAUAGAAAGUUUCCAUUAAAGUGUGAGUAUGAAGGUAUUAAAACUGAUGCUUUCUUAACAUACAUA